GGGUGUGUCAGUCCUAAAUUUAGGACUCCUAAAUCUUUGCUCUAAGAGUAUUUCACAAAGUGUUUUAGCACUAAAACUAGCUCCUAAAUCUGUGAAACGUUAGGAGCAGUAAAGAGGACUCUUAAGUCACUAAGACAUAUUAGGAAAUAAUUCUAAUAUGAUGAUUUGCUGUUAGAGAAAAAAUUCUAAUUAUUUUUUUUUUCUUUGGGAAGACAUUUAAGUGGUAGAAAAGACUUUUAAUUUUUAAUUAUAAUUUUACAAAAUAUAUAUAUUUUUUUUAUUAUGUUUUGAACUUUGUAUUCAUAUAAUACUCAUGAAGGAAAAAUUCAAGAUUUACACAGAAAUAUUAAGUAGCACAGCUGUUUCCAUGCGCACGAAUAACGUGAUUAUUUCCAAAAAUCAGAGUAAGGACUUACCUGAUGUCAUUCAUGUACGUCAUGAGCACAUGCACGCUUUGGUCAGAGCGGCAAUAAUGCGAUUAGGUGCAUGUAAAUGCACUGAUUGAUAAUAAUCAGCAAUGUUUCUCGAGCAGCAAAUCAGUAUAUGACAUAAGAUCAUGUGACACUGAAGACUGGAGUAAAGGCUACUGAAAAAUUCAGCUUUGCCUUGCAGGAAUGAAAUACAUUUUAAAGUAUAUUCAAAAAAGAGUAUGAAAACUGUUGUUUUAAAUUUUACAAAUAUUUUACAAUAUUACUGUUUUGUACUGUGAUUGUAAUCAAAUAAAUAUAGCCUUGGUGACCAGAAGAGACUUCUCUCGAAAAANCUAAAGGUGAGGUGUAAAUAUUAAAAAUAAAGGUGGUAUUUUGGUCGUUAGGACAAACUUGGUACGUUGCUGCGACCAAUAUGAUCCGGUACUGUCACGUCCUCACAACGUGCCAGUUUGGUCGUUGGGACGUACUCAUCACGUUCCAGCGACGUUCGACUAUAACGUCGCUACGACGAAUAUGGGAAUCACAAAGUUACGUCGCUGGAACGUUAUUUGGUACGUCGCUGCGACGAAUAUGGUCUGGUCCAGUUACGUCGUCACGACGUAUCUGUGUUAGCUGGGUUGAUUCUGAACUGAUUCUGUGCUAAUGUCAUGAGCGCGGGUAAACCAUAGACAGUAAAAGAAAGGGGUAAACCGAAGACUUGAAUGAAGGGCAAUCUGGCGAAACUUAAGUUUAUUUAAUCACAAAUAAAUCGCAAUGGAUUAUGCA
ensembl:lncRNA